rnacentral:misc_RNA from 1 species
GCAAACUUGGUCAUUUAGAGGAAGUAAAAGUCGUAACAAGGUUUCCGUAGGUGAACCUGCGGAAGGAUCAUCAGUGAUCUGUGUGGGCAGAGUGCUGCCUCCACACCAAUCUUGUGUGAACUGUUUUGUGGUAUGUGUGUUGGUGGUGCCGUGGAAUACACACCACCAACAUCACAAAUCUCUCUUUCAACCUUUGUCUAACAUGUACACCCACAAUUCAAAACAACUUUUAACAAUGGAUCUCUUGGCUCUCGCAUCGAUGAAGAACGCAGC